rnacentral:rRNA from 1 species
GCAUUUUUGAAGAACGCAGCGAAAUGCGAUACGGGGUGUGAAUUGCAGAAUGCCCGUGACCCAUCGAGUCUUUGAACRCAAAUUGCGCCCGAAGCCAUUARGCCGAGGGCACGUCUGCCUGGGCGUCAC